ensembl:lncRNA
GGUGGACUUCCUAUGCGCAGGGAAUAAAAAUGCUCUGGAAUUAUUUCAAUCUAAAGGAUACACUCAACUGAUCACCACAGCAACGACAAAAAAGCACACGCUCCUGGAUCACAUUUACAUCCCUCAUCUGGAUUUGUUCCUUCAAUUGGGUGUGUUACACAGUUAUCAUAGUUAUCACAAUCCUGUGUACUGUAUUUUGUGUAAAUGAGUUUGUGGGGUUAAUGUGUAUUGUGUGUUGCUGUGUUGUACCAUACGAAACCGGGACACUGAGCACGCAUUAACGGUGCCAAUGGGACUUUGACAGCCUUAGCCAACGGUUGCUGUGUAUGGUCAUGUCAAGGUGUUAUGUCAUUGAGCUACCAGGAAAGUAGAGCCUCAGCAGCAGGAAGGACGAAGUAAGGAGUAGUGUGGCAGCUCUAGGGAGGACCCAGACAGUGAGAGCAAGGGUGGCGGUAAGACAGCAAGUUGCAGGAAGAAUUUGGAGACCAUAGCAGUCCUGUCCAAGACCGGAUAUGAGUCUGCAAUAUACCAUCUAAAGCUAAGUUUUUAAUGAUUUUGCUUCAGUCACUGUACUACUGCACAUUAUAACCACAUUUGCAGGAAAAUGUUCAAUCUUGAUCUGAUUUUGAUAUUUACCAGCAACCAGCCAAUUGAAGUCAGAAUUUCUUAGAUCAAGUGUGCUACAAUGCUGAUGGAUGACAAGAGGACGGGACCAAAUGUUUACGGCAUUGACGACAAUACUGGAGAAGCAGAGGAAGAAGCACACUAAAGCACUGAGGAUAUCCAGCCUGUAGGCCGUGCCAGAUCCAGCGGCUAGAUGGCAGAUGCUUCAUUAGACCACUGAAUAUAUCUAAUCAUUGGAUUAUCAAUUAAUUCAUCUUAAUAUAUAUAAAUUAUUUUAUAAUCAUUAAAUAAUUGGUCUCAAUUUCUAGAUAUAUUAAUAUUUCAUAUAUUGGCUUAAAUAAGAAUUUUACUGUAAGGUGUGCCAUGCCAGAGGAGGAUGGGCUCCCCCUGUUGAGUCUGGUUCCUCUCAAGGUUUUUUACCUCCUAACUCUUUGGAGUUUUUUCCUAGCCACCUUCGCCAUUGGCUUGCUCACUGGGGGUGUUGUGCCAGGUCCUGUCUACCUCUUGGGUCCUUACUGACAAGGGUUUCCAAAAUGAGGCUUUUGUGAAUUGAUGAAAAUCUUAUAAUGAAUUAAAUCGUGAAAAUGUGAAUUAAAGUAAAAAAAAAAAAAUAGGACUGCACAAUUACUUUGAAAGGAGCAGUUAAAUAAUGUUAUGGCUUAGUGUGAGUAGAGUGUAGACUAAGCUACAAACAGAUGCAAUUUAAUUACAUAAAUAUAUUCUGAUGCAUUGUGUUUCAGAGUGAAGGGUGUGCAGCUCUUGAUCUGUUGUUAAAUGUUUCAGUUCACAGUACAAGCUGCUGCACACAAACUCAAUAUCUGAAUGUGCUAUACUUUUGAGUGACUUACAAUCAAGCUGUAAGCCCCAAGACACCAGUGA